UGGGGAAUAUUGGACAAUGGGCGCAAGCCUGAUCCAGCAAUGCCGCGUGUGUGAAGAAGGUCUUCGGAUUGUAAAGCACUUUUGGCAGGGACGAUGAUGACGGUACCUGCAGAAUAAGCCCCGGCUAACUUCGUGCCAGCAGCCGCGGUAAUACGAAGGGGGCUAGCGUUGCUCGGAAUGACUGGGCGUAAAGGGCGCGUAGGCGGCUGUCACAGUCAGAAGUGAAAUUCCUGGGCUCAACCUGGGGACUGCUUUUGAUACGUGGCGGCUUGAGUGGGGAAGAGGGUUGUGGAAUUUCCAGUGUAGAGGUGAAAUUCGUAGAUAUUGGAAAGAACACCGGUGGCGAAAGCGGCUCACUGGACCAAAACUGACGCUGAGGAGCGAAAGCGAGGGGAGCAAACAGGAUUAGAUACCCGGGUAGUCC
rnacentral:rRNA from 1 species